GCGGCAUGCUUUACACAUGCAAGUCGAACGGCAGCACGGACUUCGGUCUGGUGGCGAGUGGCGAACGGGUGAGUAAUACAUCGGAACGUACCUGGAAGUGGGGGACAACCAGUCGAAAGAUUGGCUAAUACCGCAUACGAUCUACGGAUGAAAGAGGGGGACCUUCGGGCCUCUUGCUUUCAGAGCGGCCGAUGCCUGAUUAGCUAGUUGGUGGGGUAAAGGCCUACCAAGGCGACGAUCAGUAGCUGGUCUGAGAGGACGAUCAGCCACACUGGGACUGAGACACGGCCCAGACUCCUACGGGAGGCAGCAGUGGGGAAUUUUGGACAAUGGGGGCAACCCUGAUCCAGCAAUGCCGCGUGAGUGAAGAAGGCCUUCGGGUUGUAAAGCUCUUUUGUCAGGGAAGAAAAGGGGGAUGUUAAUACCAUUCUCUCAUGACGGUACCUGAAGAAUAAGCACCGGCUAACUACGUGCCAGCAGCCGCGGUAAUACGUAGGGUGCGAGCGUUAAUCGGAAUUACUGGGCGUAAAGCGUG
rnacentral:rRNA from 1 species